rnacentral:rRNA from 1 species
CACCUCCAGCAUCCCUAGUAUUGGAGGCACUGCCUGCCCAGUGGCAACCGUUAAAUGGCCACAGUAUCCUGACCAUAAAAAGGUAGCAUAAUCAUUUGUUCUCUAAAUAAAGACUUGUAUGAAUGGCCACACGAGGGUUUUACUUACUUCCAAUCAGUGAAAUUGAUCUUCCCGUGAGGAGGCGGGAAUAGACUAAUAAGACGAGAAGACACUAUGGAGCUUUAACUAACUAGCCCAAAGAAAACAAACUCAACCACCAAGGGAUAACAACACUCCUUAUGAGCUAACAGUUUCGGUUGGGGUGACCUCGGAGAACAGAAAAUCCUCCGAGCGAUUUUAAAGACUAGACUAACAAGUCAAACCAAACCAUCGCUUAUUGAUCCAAAAACUUGAUCAACGGAACAAGUUACCCUAGGGAUAACAGCGCAAUCCUAUUCAAGAGUCCAUAUCGACAAUAGGGUUUACGACCUCGAUGUUGGAUCAGGACACCCCGAUGGUGCAACCGCUAUCAAAGGUUCGUUUGUUCAACGAUUAAAGUCCU